CUUCCGUACAGGACCAGCAGGGGUAAAACAUCCGCAAGGAGCUGCCCGGGGCAUCCCUGGAGCUCAGAGAGGCUCGGCCGGGCCGCUGCGUGUGUGUGGCACCCGUCUCAAGAAGCCCUGCAUAGUCAGUAGGAUCAUCUACAGCCCCAUUCAGCCUUCCAAAUUGAUACUAGCCCAAACCGUGCACUCUACUACAUAGCAUCCUUGAUAUCAGAGUGACAGUACGGAGUUUAUAGAACCUGGGAGACAGUCCUGGUCUCCUCCUAGCCAGCCUCGGAUGGACUGCUGUCUCCGUACAGGGAGCGAAUGAUGCAGCAAGCCUCCAAGGUACCAGCGCCUCAGAGUCCGUUGCUGUGGAGCAGCUCACGGGACAGAUGUAUCCAAAGGGAGGGCCUGCGAGUUAGGCCCAGCGUCAAAAAGAGAACGCAGCGUGCUUGCGGAUGAGAAGACCACAUCGUCUGUGACCCUCAUAAGAAUCCAUGAUGCUCCCUGUCAGUCUGGCCACUGACCUAGUCAGUCCCUGCAUUUCUGGAAUGUUCUUAAUCUACUCCAAGAUGGAGGAACACUCUACCAGCAUAUUUGUGUA